rnacentral:rRNA from 1 species
GAGUUUGAUCCUGGCUCAAGAUGAACGCUAGCUACAGGCUUAACACAUGCAAGUCGAGGGGCAGCAUGGUCUUAGCUUGCUAAAGCCGAUGGCGACCGGCGCACGGGUGAGUAACACGUAUCCAACCUGCCGUCUACUCUUGGACAGCCUUCUGAAAGGAAGAUUAAUACAAGAUGGCAUCAUGAGUCCGCAUGUUCACAUGAUUAAAGGUAUUCCGGUAGACGAUGGGGAUGCGUUCCAUUAGAUAGUAGGCGGGGUAACGGCCCACCUAGUCUUCGAUGGAUAGGGGUUCUGAGAGGAAGGUCCCCCACAUUGGAACUGAGACACGGUCCAAACUCCUACGGGAGGCAGCAGUGAGGAAUAUUGGUCAAUGGGCGAGAGCCUGAACCAGCCAAGUAGCGUGAAGGAUGACUGCCCUAUGGGUUGUAAACUUCUUUUAUAAAGGAAUAAAGUCGGGUAUGGAUACCCGUUUGCAUGUACUUUAUGAAUAAGGAUCGGCUAACUCCGUGCCAGCAGCCGCGGUAAUACGGAGGAUCCGAGCGUUAUCCGGAUUUAUUGGGUUUAAAGGGAGCGUANAUGGAUGUUUAAGUCAGUUGUGAAAGUUUGCGGCUCAACCGUAAAAUUGCAGUUGAUACUGGAUAUCUUGAGUGCAGUUGAGGCAAGCGGGAUUCGUGGUGUAGCGGUGAAAUGCUUANAUAUCACGAAGA